rnacentral:misc_RNA from 1 species
GAUGAAGAACGUAGCGAAAUGCGAUAAGUAGUGUGAAUUGCAGAAUUCAGUGAAUCAUCGAAUCUUUGAACGCACAUUGCGCCCUUUGGUAUUCCUUAGGGCAUGCCUGUUCGAGCGUCAUUUGAAACCUCAAGCUCAGCUUGGUGUUGGUUGUCUGUCCCCGCCUCACCGCGGGGACUCGCCUCAAAAUCAUUGGCGGCCGGUACGUUGGCUUCGAGCGCAGCAGAAACGCGAACUCGAGGCCCGGCGGAUCGGCGACCAGAAGUCACUUCUUCACAGUUUGACCUCGGAUCAGGUAGGGAUACCCGCUGAACUUAAGCAUAUCAAUAAGCGGAGGA